GUGUCAGCAGCCGCGGUAAUACGAAGGGACCUAGCGUAGUUCGGAAUUACUGGGCUUAAAGAGCACGUAGGUGGUUAGGAAAGUUGGUGGUGAAAUCCCAAGGCUCAACCUUGGAACUGCCACCAAAACUUUUUAACUAGAGUAUGAUUGAGGUAAGCGGAAUUUCUAGUGUAGAGGUGAAAUUCGUAGAUAUUAGAAAGAACACCAAUUGCGAAGGCAGCUUUCUGGGUCAUUACUGACACUGAGGUGCGAAAGCAUGGGUAGCGAAGAGGAUUAGAUACCCUCGUAGUCCAUGCUGUAAACGAUGUGUGCUAGACGUUGGAAAUUUAUAUUUCAGUGUCGCAGCAAAAGCGUUAAGCACACCGCCUGGGGAGUACGACCGCAAGGUUAAAACUCAAAUGAAUUGACGGGGACCCGCACAAGUAGUGGAGCAUGUGGUUUAAUUCGAAGAUACGCGCAGAACCUUACCAACACUUGACAUGUUCGUCGCGACUUUAAGAGAUUAAAGUCUUCGGUUCGGCCGGACGAAACACAGGUGCUGCAUGGCUGUCGUCAGCUCGUGUCGUGAGAUGUUGGGUUAAGUCCCGCAACGAGCGCAACCCUUACUUUUAGUUGCUACCAUUCAGUUGGGCACUCUAAAAGAACUGCCAGUGAUAAGCUGGAGGAAGGUGGGGAUGACGUCAAGUCCUCAUGGCCCUUAUGUGUUGGGCUACACACGUGCUACAAUGGUAUUUACAGUGGGAUGCUAAGAGGCAACUCCAAGCUAACCCCUAAAAGAUACCUCAGUUCGGAUUGCACUCUGCNACUCGAGUGCAUGAAGCUGGAAUUACUAGUAAUCGUGGAUCAGCGCGCCACGGUGAAUACGUUCCCGGGUCUUGCACACACCGCCCGUC
rnacentral:rRNA from 1 species